GAUGAACGCUGGCGGCGUGCUUAACACAUGCAAGUCAAACGGUGAACGAGGGAGCUUGCUCCCUCCGGAUCAGUGGCGAACGGGUGAGUAACACGUGAGCAAUCUGCCCCGAACUCUGGGAUAAGCGCUGGAAACGGCGUCUAAUACCGGAUACGACGCGCGAAGGCAUCUUCUGCGCGUGGAAAGAAUUUCGGUUCGGGAUGAGCUCGCGGCCUAUCAGCUAGUUGGUGAGGUAACGGCUCACCAAGGCGACGACGGGUAGCCGGCCUGAGAGGGUGACCGGCCACACUGGGACUGAGACACGGCCCAGACUCCUACGGGAGGCAGCAGUGGGGAAUAUUGCACAAUGGGCGCAAGCCUGAUGCAGCAACGCCGCGUGAGGGACGACGGCCUUCGGGUUGUAAACCUCUUUUAGUACCGACGAAGCGAACUUUUUGGGGAGUGACGGUAGGUGCAGAAGAAGGACCGGCCAACUACGUGCCAGCCGCCGCAGUAACAC
rnacentral:rRNA from 1 species